rnacentral:rRNA from 1 species
AGUAGGGUGCCAUCAAGAGGUGUAUUUGGAAAUAUCCCUAAUACAGGAUCACUUG